UACGUAGGGUGCAAGCGUUAAUCGGAAUUACUGGGCGUAAAGCGUGCGCAGGCGGUUUUGUAAGCCAGAUGUGAAAUCCCCGGGCUCAACCUGGGAAUGGCAUUUGGGACUGCAAGGCUGGAGUGCGGCAGAGGAGACUGGAAUUCCUGGUGGUAGCAGUGAAAUGCGUAGAUAUCAGGAGGAAUACCGAUGGCGAAGGCAGGUCUCUGGGCUGACACUGACGCUCAUGCAC
rnacentral:rRNA from 1 species